CCUCAGGUGAUCCACCUGCCUCAGCCUCCCAAAGUGCUGGGAUUAUAGGUGUGAGUCACCACACGGGGCCAUUUUUUUUUAAAAAAAAGAGAGUGUGUUUCAGUUGCAGAUUUACCAGAGAUUAUAUAAUAUACCCUUGCAUCUCUUUUUACUAAUUUAUAUUUAAGAAAAUCAACUCAGAAAGCAACAGAAAAAAAAUAUUGUGUGAGAUGUCCCAUAUAAAUGGCAUCCGAAACAGACAGACAAUUCCAAUGAGAAGAAUAUUUCAAGUUCAUGUGGAAUUUUCACUUACUUACACAAAUCCUACCUGACCUAUUUGUUUUAAAGUUUUUCCGUGUCUGAAAAGUAAGAUUCUAUAUUAGUAUCACUUUGCUCAUAGACAUUACACAGGGUGAUUUAUCAGGCAGUUUUCCCUUUGAGAACUGUACUAGAUUGCUGGGUCUGCCAUAACAAAAUACCACAGACUGGGUGGCUUACGCAACAGACGUUUUCCUCACAGUUCCGCAGGCUGGAAGUCCAAGAUCAAGGCGUCCCCGGGUUUGGUUUCUUCUAAGGCCUUGCUUUUUGACUACGCUACUCUCCACGUCCUCACACUGCCUUUCUUCUGUGCACACGCUUCCCUGAUGUCUACUUUUGUGUCCUAAUUUCUGCUUCUUAGAAGGACACCAGUCGGACUGAAACAGUGCUCAUCCCAGUGGCCUCAUUUGAACUUCAUCACUUCCUUAAAGCUCCUGUCUCCGAAUACAAUCUCAUUUUGAGGUUUGGUGUUUUCAAAGAAAUAGGAAACUAUGGAUGCUUCUCAACAUUACAGGAAGACAUACAGUGGGUAGUUUGGUAAGUCAUAACCCUUCACAAUCAGAGAUUCUCCUCCAUAAAGUUAGAGAGGUAGUUAAACCUGGGGAUACAAAUGUAUGUCUGUAGCCCUGUGCACUCUCAAUGUGGGAAGUCCCAGCUUUUCCCUCUGCUGGCCUCGGCCAUCUCCGAAAUGCCCAGCUAUGAAACCAAGUCCUUAAACUUCCUCCGACCUCCACCCUCACUCUUGAUGCCAGGCUUCUGUUGUGCUUAUUCUCCUAGUGAGUUUUGCAAACCUCUGUUAUCCAUGACCACUUUCACAUGUAUUGACAUUUACACACAGCAUCUGUUCUAUUAUUUACUUAAUAGUUUUCUUUAAAUCAGUAAGUUUUGACUUCAUUUAUUAUAUGAAGACAAUUUUAUGCCAUUAGCACACACUUCAAAAUCUAUAUCAUAUGCUAUUAGUGUAAGGUAAAUGUAAAAAUUAACAUCACAGGAGCAGAGUGUAGUGGAAAUUCUCAUGACUGACCAUGUGUCGAGUUCAGGGUUAGUAUUUUGGCAGAGCUCCAUAACAUCCCCUUUGCUGAUUCCUUCAGCUAGAAUUUGUUGUGGGCCUGCCACAUUCCAGACCCUGGGAAUAGGGGAAAGGAUAAGACAGAUGUGGUCUAUGUGCUUGUGAAACUUAAGGUCUAUUGAGAGAGAGAAACAAGAGAGAUAAAUAAGCAUCUAAGCAAGCCAACCCUUCCCGCCAAGAAAAUCAGAAAGCA